rnacentral:tRNA from 1 species
UCCGGCGUAGCUCAGUUGGUAGAGCAAGCGGCUGUUAACCGCUAGGUCGCAGGUUCGAGUCCUGCCGCCGGAGCCA